AGAGACUCAUAACAAGAAAACUCUGCAUGUUGGGCACAGACGCGAGUUGUAUCUUCCAUCUGCACUUGUUUGUAGCUGGGGAUGCAGAGCCCUGGGUGCAGAGGGCCAGCCGCACCGCCACGCACCAACUGGUGUCUCCAGGGGGUUGCACCAAUCGAUACUGCCACAAGCUGUGCAUGACAAGCAGCUCUGAGCCACCACCCCAUCAUCGGCAAGAGGAGCACAGUGGGGGCCUGGGUUCCAUCCCAGCAUCCAUCCCAGCACCGUGAAGGAAUGGGAACAGUUACAGCCCUGGGUGAGGCUGCACUGGGCCAUGAGCGUCAGUCCCUUCUGCGUUCCUGUCACAAUCUACCCUCGGCACAGAUGCAGAUGCGUUAGUAAGAAAGGAGCCUACCUGACUCACCGUUCUGGAGGCUGGGAGUCCAAGCAGGAUGGCAAAACUGGGAUCGAACUCGGGACCUUGUGCUUGUGAGGCACGUGGCAGAACCACUGAGCUACAUCCCGGCCCUGGUAAAUACAGCUUUAAAGAAAGUAUAAAAACUACCCAUUCAGGGGCCUUACAAAUGGUGAAUUUUUCUGGGUGAAUUUGGUGCAUGCCCCUAACCUUGGAUACUGGGGAAGCUGAGGCGGGAGGGUCUUAAAUUCAGGGCCAGCCUGGGGAACUAGCAAGAUCACGGAAAGUACUAGGAAACAAAUUUUUAAAAAAGAUGUGGAGAUGAAGAUACAGCUGGCUGGAGCAUCCUGCAGAGGCCCUUGGUUCAGAAGCACUGGAGGAAGAAGAGCCGAAGGCCGUAAUGAAGAGGAGAAUCGGCAUCGAUAGGACACCGGCCCUUUCAGUGGUGAUGCCCGUCAGGGUGGACCCUGGCCGCCUGGCUCCAAGGCCAUCCGAGGUUUCCACUUCCUCCUCCAUGACACCUGGGCUCUCCAGAGCCUCCACGCUGGACCUGGACCACCCCUGGGUGGCUUCACAGCUGGCCGGGCUGGCUCAGGGGAGCAGGUGGCAAGGCCCCUGCCUCUGGGAUCCCAUGCCAGAUGUGGGCCAGAUGGCGGCCAGGCUGUGGACAGGGCCCUCCAUGGAGUGGCCUGCAGCUCUACCAGCCCAUGGGUCCAUCCUCCUUGUACCAGGCAUGUGCAGUGAGGUCCCCACUCUGGCCCAGUCAUGGCAGCCACAGCAGUUUGGGCCGAGAGCCCUGGGGAGGGGAUCCCUGGCUUUGCUGCUGUGGCCCACAUCUCACCUGCAGCUGAUGCCCUCG
ensembl:lncRNA